AAUAUUUGACAUACCGGGUCAAUUGCGAGUACUGUAUUUGUAUGUAAUGGUACUGUAAUUUACAUCUGUGUACUGAAUACUUUCAAUAUCACUAUGUUGUUCUCUUUUGUUAUCCUUGGCUCAGUAUCACAUAAUACUAAAAAGGCAUGAUCUUUAGACAGGAUGUAGAAAGCAUUAUCAAAAUUUUUUUUUUUUUUUCAAGUGCCCCUAUUUGAGGUCUGUGUAUAUGUAUCUAUGUAUGAAUAUAUCCUGAAGCAAGAAUAUAUUGUUGAAUCCGGGGGGGUGGGGGGGAUAACUUGUUUGAUGUUUUACUUUUUUUUUCAGGUUUGGCAUUCCAUACAAUGCAGGUUUGAAUUUAGCAGCUGAUGAUGUAGCAGAUGAUGUGCCACACUGAAUGUUCUAAUCACACCUGUUUUUUUUUUUUUUUUUAAACAAUUCUCUCUCUUUUUUUCGUUUGGGAGCUGCAUUAAAAAUCCACUUGGCUCAAAUAUCUGAGGGGGCAUGAUUGAAAUCGCAUUUUCGGGAAAAGUGGUAUUUCAACUGGACCCCCUGCUAGUAAGUGAGUUAGUAAGUCUCUUUGGAUAAGUGUUUGCAAAAUGCAAAAAUGUAAAUGUGAAGAUAUUACAGAAUUCUCAUUUUUGGGAUAAAUUAUCUAUUUAAAAGUCCAGCCAGCUUCAUUACAUUUAAGGGAACAAUUUUUGGUGUGUGUGGGUGGGUGGGUGGGGGGGGAUCUCUGAGACUCUCCCAUCAGGGCCUGAGACAGCCCACUCAUGUUAAGGGGCUUCUGUUGCAGUCCAACUUUAACUCACUUACAUAGAUACGGUAUAAUGGCUGUAUGCUGAGUAAAGGAAGUCUUAAGUAAGCAGGGAAGACGGAAGAGAGACACUGAUAAAGUCAGCUUUGGGAUAAUGCAUCCAGCAGGUGAGAAACUCUUGGGUUUCUACAGCACAGAGGAGCAGCCAUCAGGCCCAGGAGGACAAGACGGCAUGUGGAGAAAUGAGAAGUAUGAAACCCUCCCAUUGGAUGUGAAGGGGACUGAUGAAGACAAUUCUAAAGGCACUAAAGAUUUGCUAUACCCCCAGGCUGCUGUAAGUCACAACAACAGAGAAAACAUACCUCUACACUCAUUUUGUUUAUUUCAUUUCAGGGAUAAAGACAUAUUACCGGUUCCUCAACUGUUUUCCUGUCUUUCUAGUACUGCACAAUUUGCAAGGCAAACUAUGGACAAAUAUGUGGACAUUUGAAUGCUUCAGUUUACACUUUUGUUAGGAACAGCUGAUUAUAUUAUAUUAAAGCUAGCUAGAGGUUAAAUUACAUAAAUAGACACAUUUGCAUUGUAAUUCUACUUUGUGCAAGGGAAAUAAUAUUGUAAGCUAAUAUUAUUGAGGAUAAUUUGUAAAACAAGCAAAUAUAUUUUCAUGAAAAGCUAAAGCUUACCAAAAAUAUCUUGACUAGAACACAUUGCCUUCUUUUUCGUACUCCAGAUGGUUCAAUAAACUUUAAGAUCUGCCGAGUGUGCGUACUCUUUAUGUGUGCAAAACUACUUUGCAUACUAAGGAAUAUUUGAAAGGCUUUGCUAAUCUGCAGGACAGGUUGAUCACUUUGAAAUAUCCUCUGAAAUGACUUAAUACAAAUUUAUUCAACUAUGUGUUUGGCGUUCGUAGAUUUGGUAGUUUUUGAGUGGUGUUACUCAUCCUUAUAUAAGGGUAACCGCACAUUCAGGAUUAAAAUAAAAACUCUUGUCAAGCAGUAAACUUAAUUUUGCAUUUGAGUCAGAUUUUGAUAGCUUCCUCCACUCUUUUUUUUUUUUUUUUUUUUUUUUACAUUUUUCUUUUCUUUUGUAAACAGUGCAAAAGUCUUUGAAGGGAUAGUUCACCCAAAAAUGAAAAUUAUGUCAUUAAUAACUCACCCUCAUGUCGUUCCAAACCCGUGAGAGCUUUUAUCUUCGGGACACAGUUUAAGAUAUUUUAGAUUUAGUCCGAGAGCUCUCAGUCCCUCCAUUGAAACUGUGUACGGUAUACUGUCCAUGUCCAGAAAGGUAAGAAAAACAUCAUCAAAGUAGUCCAUGUGACAUCAGAGGGUCCGUUGGAAUUUUUUGAAGCAUCGAAAAUACAUUUUGGUCCAAAAAUAGCAAAAACUAUGACUUUAUUCAGCAUUGUCUUCUCUUCUGUGUCUGUUGAGAGAGAUAGAGUUCAAAACACUGCAGUUUAGUGAUAUCCGGUUCGCAAAUGAAUCAUUCGAUGUAACCCGUAUCUCCUUGAACCAGUUCACCAAAUCGUACUGAAUCGUUUGACACGGUUCGCGUCUCCAAUACACAUUAAUCCACAAAUGACUUAAGCUGUUAACUUGUUUAAUGUGGCUGACACUCCCUCUGAGUUCAAACAAACCAAUAUCCCGGAGUAAUUCAUUUACUCAAACAGAACACUGACUGAACUGCUGUGAAGAGAGAACUGAAGAUUUUUUCUGAAGACGAACACAGAGCCGAGCCAGAUAACGAACAAACGAUUGACUCAUUCUCGAGUCAAGAACCGUUUCUGUCAGACGUGUCCGAUUCGUGAACCGAGGAGCUAUUGAUACUGCGCAUAUGUUGUGUGAUUCAGAGUGAAGCAGACCGACACACAGAGCAUCUGAACCGAACUGAUUCUUUUGGUGAUUGAUUCUGAACUGAUUCUGUGCUAAUGUUAUGAGUGCGGGUAAACCGAAGGCUUGAAUCAAGGGCAAUCAUCGGCAAUGACGCCAUUACGUCGAGCGCAAAAGAACCGGUGAACCGUUUUCUUCAACCGGUUUCUUCAACCGGUUUAUUUAAUCGAACUGUCCAAAGAACCGAUCACUACUGGUGAUCUGAAAACCGAUGCAACCGGUUCUUGACUCGAGAAAACGAGUCAAUCUGUCGUUCAUUAUCUGGCUCGGCUCGGUGUUCAUCUUCAGUUCUCUCUUCACAGUAGUUCAGUCAGUGUUCUGUUUGAGUAAAUGAAUUACUCCGGGAUAUUGGUUUGUUUGAACUCAGAGGGAGUGUCAGCCACAUUAAACAAAUUAACAGCUUAAGUCAUUUGUGGAUUAAUGCGUAUUGGAGACGGGAACAGUUUCAAUACGAUUUGGUGAACUGGUUCAGGAAGAUCUGGGUACAUCGAAUGAUUCGUUUGUGAACCGGAUAUCACUAAACUGCAGUGUUUUGAACUCUCUCUCUCUGACCCUGACUGACCCUCUGAUGUCACAUGGACUACUUUUGAUGAUGUUUUUCUUACCUUUCUGGACAUGGACAGUAUACCGUACGCACAGCUUCAAUGGAGAGACCAAGCGCUCUCGGACUAAAUCUACAAUAUCUUAAACUGUAUCUGAAGAUAAACGGAGGUCUUAAGGGUUUGGAACGACAUGAGGGUGAGUCAUUAAUGACAUAAUUUUCAUUUUUGGGUGAACUAUCCCUUUGAUAUCACUUUCAUCUUUGCGGAUUAAAAUGAAAUAAUUUCUUUAAAAGAUUCUAACCCCAAAAUUGAUCAGCAGUGUAAAUGCACGAAUAGGUUUCAACAUGGAUAAGAUCUUUUCCCCCAUAGAAAUUAGCUGUAAUUUGUUAACUAGGAUUUAUUUGGUGGGUAGUAGCUCUCUUACCCAAUGUUGUGUCCUUGUUUAAACUAACAUCACCCCAAACUCACAGCACUCAAACCAACAGAGCAACAUUGAAAGCACCGUGUUUACUGGAAAAUCAGCCUAAAUACAUAAAUACACCUUUAAAGGGCCAGAAAUCUGCCACACCCUUUAUAAAAUGUAAGAAGUUUGUGAAGUUUGCUGGAAGUCAUACUCUGAUUACACAGGCAGGCUUAUGUCUGAUUUUGUAAUGGAUGUAAAGAUUACUUAAUAAUACUAGUGUAUUUAUUUUUGGUUCAUAAGGUUUAAGGUUGAAGGUCAGAGAUGGCAUCAUGAUUUUGUUAUUGUAAAGUCAUUUUUAGAUUUAGUCCAUAUACUUUUUUUUAUAAUCUCUUCAUCUAUUUUAAAUAGAAUGUCAAAAGAUAUUUACUUUAAAUCAUAUAAUAAUCUACUAAUGCAAAUUAGUCUCUUA
rnacentral:lncRNA from 1 species